AUUCCUUCGUAAAAGCUCCACUAAACCACAGCUUUGGUUUGGGGUUUUUUGAUGAGGCAUAAAGUUUAUAAACUUGCAUCACACAGCUAGGAAUUUAAUGGGCUGCUUUUGCAGUAAAAUCGUCGUCGGACAUGUAAAUUUCCAGUUCAGAUCAUGUCAUAUUUUCAUCUUUUAUCACUCUUGCAUCAGGUCUUCGGGCUGUAAUGUUUAAUAAAGGGAGUUGGCAAUUCAAUAAUACAUUUUCCAAAACAAUGUUAACGAUCCUGAGGUAAAGUGCGUCGAAUGAGA
rnacentral:lncRNA from 1 species